GACGAACGCUGGCGGCGUGCCUAAUACAUGCAAGUCGAACGCUUCUUUCCUCCCGAGUGCUUGCACUCAAUUGGAAAGAGGAGUGGCGGACGGGUGAGUAACACGUGGGUAACCUACCCAUCAGAGGGGGAUAACACUUGGAAACAGGUGCUAAUACCGCAUAACAGUUUAUGCCGCAUGGCAUAAGAGUGAAAGGCGCUUUCGGGUGUCGCUGAUGGAUGGACCCGCGGUGCAUUAGCUAGUUGGUGAGGUAACGGCUCACCAAGGCCACGAUGCAUAGCCGACCUGAGAGGGUGAUCGGCCACACUGGGACUGAGACACGGCCCAGACUCCUACGGGAGGCAGCAGUAGGGAAUCUUCGGCAAUGGACGAAAGUCUGACCGAGCAACGCCGCGUGAGUGAAGAAGGUUUUCGGAUCGUAAAACUCUGUUGUUAGAGAAGAACAAGGACGUUAGUAACUGAACG
rnacentral:rRNA from 1 species